rnacentral:SRP_RNA from 1 species
GUCCUUCGCAAUGACAGGAUACCCAACCCCGCCAGGUCCGGAAGGAAGCAACGGCCGGUAUCCGCUCAUGUGACGAAGGUUCG